rnacentral:rRNA from 1 species
AGAGUUUGAUCCUGGCUCAGGAUGAACGCUGGCGGCGUGCUUAACACAUGCAAGUCGAACGCACCUUCGGGUGAGUGGCGGACGGGUGAGUAACGCGUGAGAAUCUGCCCUUAGGAGGGGGAUAACGGCUGGAAACGGCCGCUAAUACCCCAUAUGCCGAGAGGUGCAACGAGAAAUCGCCUGAGGAUGAGCUCGCGUCUGAUUAGCUAGUUGGUGAGGUAAGAGCUUACCAAGGCAUUGAUCAGUAGCUGGUCUGAGAGGAUGAUCAGCCACACUGGGACUGAGACACGGCCCAGACUCCUACGGGAGGCAGCAGUGGGGAAUUUUCCGCAAUGGGCGCAAGCCUGACGGAGCAACGCCGCGUGAGGGACGAAGGCCUCUGGGCUGUAAACCUCUUUUCUCAAGGAAGAAGAUCUGACGGUACUUGAGGAAUAAGCCACGGCUAAUUCCGUGCCAGCAGCCGCGGUAAUACGGGAGUGGCAAGCGUUAUCCGGGAUUAUUGGGCGUAAAGCGUCCGCAGGCGGCCAAUCAAGUCUGCUGUUAAAGAGUGGAGCUUAACUCCAUAGAGGCAGUGGAAACUGAUUGGCUGGAGUGUGGUAGGGGCAGAGGGAAUUCCCGGUGUAGCGGUGAAAUGCGUAGAUAUCGGGAAGAACACCAGUGGCGAAGGCGCUCUGCUGGGCCAUAACUGACGCUCAUGGACGAAAGCCAGGGGAGCGAAAGGGAUUAGAUACCCCUGUAGUCCUGGCCGUAAACGAUGAACACUAGGUGUCGGGGGAAUCGACCCCCUCGGUGUCGUAGCCAACGCGUUAAGUGUUCUGCCUGGGGAGUACGCACGCAAGUGUGAAACUCAAAGGAAUUGACGGGGGCCCGCACAAGCGGUGGAGUAUGUGGUUUAAUUCGAUGCAACGCGAAGAACCUUACCAGGGUUUGACAUCCUGCGAAUCCCUGAGAGAUCGGGGAGUGCCUUCGGGAGCGCAGAGACAGGUGGUGCAUGGCUGUCGUCAGCUCGUGUCGUGAGAUGUUGGGUUAAGUCCCGCAACGAGCGCAACCCACGUCUUUAGUUGCCAGCAUUGAGUUGGGCACUCUAGAGAGACCGCCGGUGAUAAACCGGAGGAAGGUGUGGAUGACGUCAAGUCAUCAUGCCCCUUACAUCCUGGGCUACACACGUACUACAAUGCUACGGACAGAGGGCAGCAAACUCGCGAGAGCUAGCAAAUCCCAUAAACCGUGGCUCAGUUCAGAUCGUAGGCUGCAACUCGCCUACGUGAAGGAGGAAUCGCUAGUAAUCGCAGGUCAGCAUACUGCGGUGAAUACGUUCCCGGGCCUUGUACACCUCUGGUGUACCUGUUGUCACGC